GCCGGAGUACUGCGACGACGGCAACACGCUGAGCCCGUGGGAGAUCCGGGACCUGGUGGCGUCCCUGGACAGGAACUGGCCGACGCUGUCGUGCAAGAGCGGGCGCAGCUUCGAGUUCUGGAGCUACGAGUGGAAGAAGCACGGCACCUGCUCCAACCUCGAGCAGCACGAGUACUUCGCGCGCGCGCUGGAGCUCAAGGCGGCGCACAACCUGACGGCGAUCCUCGCCGGCGCCGGGAUCGUGCCGUCGAACACGGAGACAUACUCACUGAGCAGCGUGGGGGACGCCAUCGCCCAGGGGACCGGGUUCACGGCGAACCUCGAGUGCAACCGCGACGCCGACGGCGAGGCGCAGCUGUUCCAGGUGUACCUGUGCGUGGAUCGAGAGGUGAAGCAACUCAUCGACUGCCCGCUGUCCAUGCGAAGCAAGUGCACCGACCGGGUCAAGCUGCCAGUCUUCUGAUUGCUGCAUGCCCGCAUGCAUAUGGGCCGGUCGACUCCCCGCGCGUGCGUGUUUUAGAGCGGAUAUGAAUAACGUGCUUCCCUUGGUGACGAUUGGCGACCUGAUACAAUGGUUGAAUGUCAUGACGACAUCUUAAGCAGCUAGCAUGGCAUGCAAUAGAAGCAAAAUCGAUCUUUUCGUGUCUUUUUAUCUCGUAUCAUCGUGUCGAUUCUAUUUCCUCUCACCUUUGCUAGUUGCCAACGUAGUGAUAUUUUAUGAGGGCUGAGCCUUAUUGGGCUGGCAUAGCGUGAUGUGCAACGUGCAAUGCUUGGGCCUAAUUAGAGGCUUGUUGGGCUGGCAAAGCACCUCUACCGCUAACAACAUGCCACUAUGCCUGAACUGCUUCACAACAAAAUGCAACAAUUAAAUUUUAUGACUGACAUAUGAAACUAGAAAUUAAACCUUGCAUUCGGGGUAUCGUUUCAUUCACCAAUCCAAAUCUCUUUUCGGUGUGAUUGGUUCUCGUAUCGCUGUAGCCUGGCUCGCACCACGCAUGCAGAAACGGUCUAGCCUACCGGAUGCAAUAGCCUACCGGUUGCAAUAGCCUUUUUGCAUGACGUCCGGAUGCAGUCGUCUCCUCCUUACAUGACCUGACGCAUUUGAAAACUGCAAAUGAAAUUCGGUACUAGAAAACACCAUAUGAACUUGUUAACCCUCAGUUUAUGAAUAAUUAUAUCAACUUUGGUUUAAAAGUUCGACGGUUCAUUUUUUUUUUCAUAAAUGCACGGGCAAACAUCUAUAACUGUAUGAUGACCUUAAAGUACUUAUGAUUACAAAUACAUUGACCCUUUUACUAUCUUGAUUAACUAAAUAUUUUUUUCCAAAAAAAAUGUUGCGAGGGUAUAUUAUAUACCCUCGCAACAUUUUUUCCAAACCUAGGUGUGUUUGGUUGCAUGCACCACUUGAUGCAUGCAUGGAUGAUCCUGGAUGGGAUGGUUCAACCAAUUUACUUGUACCAUAUGGUUCACUCUAAUUAGUAGAAUAAUGUAUUAAGUGGGAUGGCCUCAUCCUGGAUGAGUUGGUGCAAUUCACCUAACCAAACAAAAGGAUCAUUAUUAUUUUGAAUCAUUUCAUACAUGAAUCAAAUAAUACAACCAACCAAACACACCUUGCAUCUUGGAUCUUAUGGAGUAGUAACAUGCUAAUCCCUCUAUUUAUGAAUAUUUAUCGACUUUUUCUAUAACGUUCAAACUUCAAUAAUUUAUUUUUCAUAAAGCACGAGCAAAAAAUUACGACCUCAAAAUACUUUGAUUACAAAUUCAGUGACACUUUUAUCAUUUUUAUUUUUAUCAUAACUAAUAAACAUUUUAAAAAUGUUGUGAGGAUAGUAAUAGUGGUUGUAUUUAACUUGUAAGCCGUUGAGAUAAUUUCGUACGCAAAAGAUUCCAUUGAUAGUGAGAAAUAAAACUUGUAAGCCGUUGAGUAGUCAUUUUUGCAUUUCAUGGCCUGAACAGAUCCAUUGUCCCUUCAUCACCUACCUAGCUGGCGUGGCCAAUGAAGAGCAACCAGAUAAGUAACGUGAGCAACACGUCCAUACACUGACCUAGGGCUCCCCAUUCUGAAAACACCGGACUCUAAUAACGCUGAUCAAUUGGAUAAGGCCUGCUCAGUUUCCACGUGAGCACUGAUUCAUACACGCUGUGUCCGCGAAGCCUGAUGAAUGCCUGAUCACAUGCUAUUUCCUUGGACACUGGAUCCAUCACAGAUUCACAGUAACUUAUUGGUGUGUAUACUAGGUGUGUACUGGUCAAAACUAUAGACAUGUUGGCGUUGUUCUCGCAUCAACGUAACUGUUGUUAGUAGCUGUAGUUAGGAUAAAUCGAUCACGCUGCAGCUAGACAGUGGACGUUGGUAUACUGAUCGAGCAAAUCUCCGAGACCAGUACGGCACCUGCUCCAACCUCCGCGAGCAGCAACUGCACUGACAGAGCGUCAAGCUGCCCGUCGUCUGAUGAUCGUGUCUCACGUUGGCCUGCCGUGUGACACUCAAACUGGUCAGCAGGUUCCAGUUCCACCUCACUAUCUUGAGGAUCACGACAGCAAGGAUUAAAUAGGAACGGAUAGAUCACCAUUCCUAAUCUCCAUCUUAAAGUUUCUUGAGUCUUGUACCUCUAUAUUAAUAUGCCCUUAAAGUUCAUCAAUAUAUUGUCUACAUUAAACAAAUUCUAAUACGUACUCCAUAUUACCCUUUGUUAUAUGUAGAGAAAUUUUACGGUGCUUGAGGAUUUUAAGAGCCGUCCAUGUAUUCAGAUAUAAUGGUUAAAAAGUGGAAGGAACUUGUAACCCAAAUAUGUGGACCGGAACCUAUAUUUUGUGGGCCAGGAACUAGUUCAAAAAUAAAACGAAGGCUAUAAUUGUACUUUCGAUUAGAUCAUCGGCCCAUGUUAGCCCGUUGGCCCAUCGGCUUGACCGUUUUCCAUCCGUCGGUACCGGUGACGUGCACGAGGAAUCCCGGGACCGCCGCAUCGCCGCCGUGGUUCCGCGCGGGAGAACGCCGCGUGCGUGCUGCUCCGGCUGUCCCAGCUUGAACGGCGCCACCGCGGCCGCUAUCAGCCGCGCGGGAGCCAUCCCUCUGCUCGUCUCCCUCCUCGAGACCGGCGGCGCACGCGGGAAGAAGGACGCCACGGCGCUCUACGCGCUCUGCAGCGGCUCGCACGAGAACCGGCAGUGCGCCGUCAAGGCAGGCGCCGUGCGGCCCAAGUUCGAUUUUUGUUGUUUUGAUGAGGUUUUGACAGUGGCGCUUGCCGGCGGCGUUUGUUUGUCCUACUGCUAGUGCUAAACUCGAGAAGGAGCUCGGAGUGGAUGGCCGGCGGCGACUCCCUGCGUAGGUGGACGUCGGGCGACGGCGAGCCCCUACGCAGGCCAGGCGGAGGCGGAGACAAGACUAUUUUUUUCUGAUCCGCUCUCUCUCUCUCUCUCGGUGAAAGAACCGUCCAAAGUAAUUAGCAAAGCAUAAAUUACUAUAAUACCCUUGGUUACAAAUUGAUUACAGUAAAAGGAACCUGAGGUUCCUUGCAAGCACCGUAACAAACCUCGGUAGUUGCUGGUUUUGUACUUGAGUUAAAAUGUCUUUUUUUCUCCUCGUCUCACGCCUGGGCCUUGCGCGCACUGGGCAGGCACCCGAUGCCAACAUGUGUGCGGCGUUUGCGCCGGCUGCUGGGGCCGCCAGUCCGUCACGAAGCACCCAGGCCAUCCAGCCCCGCCGCUGUCACGACGUUUGAUGAAGAGCGUGCGUUGGCCCCCCGGGCGGCCGACGACGGCGAGGCCGUUGUUCACCUGAUGCCGAACGGCUCGAUGGUCACGUUCGGCCCUUGCAGCACUCCGCCGCUGGCAAGGCCGUACACGUGGAACGGGACGUGCAUUAUUAGGUUCCGUUUGGUUCUACGAACUAAAGAUUAGUCUUUAUCAUAUCAAAUGUUUAGAUAUUAAUUAGGAAUAUUAAAUAUAGGAGGUGUUUGGUUCCAAGGACUAAGUUUAGUCCCUGUCACAUCGAAGGUUUAGAUACUAAUUAGAAGUAUUAAAUAUAUGUUAAUUACAAAUCCAAUUGCAUAAAUGAAAGCUGAUUCGGGAGAUGAAUCUAUUAAACCUAAUUAGUCCAUGAUUUGACCAUGUGAUGCUAGAGUAAAUAUGUGCUAAUUAUGGAUUAAUUAGGCUUAAUAGAUUCGUCUCAUGAAUUAGCCACGGUUUAUGUAAUUAGUUUUAUAAUUAGUUCACUUUUAGUCCUUCUAAUUGGUAUCCAAACAUCCGAUGUGACCCGAACUAAAAAUUAGUCCAUUGAUCAACACCCUCAUAGACUAAUUACAAAAUCAAUAACACAAAUGGAGGCUAAUUCGCGAGACGAAUCUAUUAAGCCUAAUUAGUCCAUGAUUUGACAAUGUGAUGCUAAGUAAAUAUGUGCUAAUCAUGAAUUAAUUAGGCUUAAUAGAUUCGUCUCGCGAAUUAACCUCCAUCCAUGUAAUUAGUUUUAUAAUUAAUUCAUGUUUAAUCCUAAUUAGCAUCCGAAUAUUCGAUGUGACAAGAAUUACACUUUAGCUCAAGAAAUCCAACAUCCCUUACUCCCGGUCGGGGGCGGGCUGCUCCUGCGUCGCCAUCUUCCCGUCGAAGAUCGACGUCGACAGGACGCGCGCCGGCGCUCUGCGUCAGAUUGACCAGCUGCAAGUUGAGAGGCCCAGCAGAUGAGAGCGGGGUGACCCAGCAGCCGUUCACUUCCCAGAUGCCCGGGGACCCGUCGCUGGAGUGGUUUCUGUCUGUCACCGGUGAGGAGGAGGUGCGGCCCGAACGGCACUGCUUGGAUAUGAUGGAGAAUUGGAGAUGCAUACUCCAGCCGGUCAUCCGGAGCCAAAAAUUAACCAUUCAAUUCCAACCUCCAAAAUCAAACACUGCUUUAGAGGGAAAAAAAAGAUGCUUAAAUUUGUACCAAGCCAAAAAGAAUCAAUUCUGAUAUUUGCCUGCUUCCGCCUGGUUGGAAAAGUCUCAAGCUGAUAAUGCCAAAUUAAGGGGGUGUUUGGAUACUGAGUGCUAAACUUUAGCAGUGUCACAUCAGAUGUUCGGAUGCUAAUUAAGAGGAUUAAAUAUGAGCUAAUUAUAAAACUAAUUGCAGAAUCCCUGUGCUAAUUUGCAAGAUGAAUCUAUUAAGCCUAAUUAAUCCAUCAUUAGCAAAUGUUACUGUAGCACCACAUUGUCAAAUCAUGGACUAAUUAGGCUUAAUAGAUUCGUCUCGUGAAUUAGAUUCCAUCUGUGCAAUUAGUUUUGUAAUUAGGCUAUAUCUAAUACUCUUAAUUAGGAUCAAACAUCCGAUGUGACAGGUGCUAAGCUUUAUCACGGGUAUCGGAACACACCCUAAACAGUACUCAUCUGUGCAUUUCAAUAGCCUGCUCUCAGAUACGUCUAUUGUCCCCUCACCUACCUAGCGUAGCCAAUCAAGCAACCAUCGGCCAAUAACCUCAGCGCACCAAGUCCACAGACGACCCAAUCACCCAAAAGAUUCCCGAUUCAGAGAAAGAAACGAACACAAGCGAGCUCGUAACGAUUGGAUAAGGCCUGCCUGAUUCAUACACGUCGUCGACGCCUCCUGAUCCGGAGCAUAUGCUAUCUCCUUCGACACCGGGUCCAUGGCAGUAAUAUAUUGGUGCCUUGUUGGUUGUGCGAAUCAAAAACUAUACCCAUGUUGCCAACUUGUCCUUGUGUCAACGGUUAUAAGUAGGUAAUAGCUGCCGUUCGGAUCUAUCAGCGCUGAAGCUAGCAGACACCGAUACUGUUGGGGGAGAAUCGCCGGGAGCAGAAAGGAUCAUCGAUCGAUGAAGCUUGUCAUCGCCUUCGGGCUCGUGCUCUCCCUCCUCGCCGUCUCGGCGGCGGCGGAGCGCUUCGAUUUCUUCUACUUUGUCCAACAGGUAGUUAGAGGAUUCUUGUUCUUUGAUCUGAAAUGUGCUUCUUGAUCUUGUUGGCAAAUGUUUUUUCUGAUGAAAAUUUAUCGCACCGGGGCAGUGGCCGGGCUCCUACUGUGACACGUGGAGGGGGUGCUGCUUCCCGGACUCCGGCAAGCCGGCGGCGGACUUUGGGAUCCACGGGCUGUGGCCCAACUACGCCCAGUGCCAUGGCCGCUACGGCCUGGCCCGCGCCGUGCUCGGCGACGACGCCUUCUUCUCCAUCGUGGGGCGGCGGGGCCGGUGCUGGCCGCAGUACUGCGGCGGCGACUACGACGACAACGCGCUCCGGCCGUGGGAGAUCCGGGACCUGAUAGCGUCCCUGGAGCGGAGCUGGCCGACGCUGUCGUGCAAGAGCGGGCGCAGCUUCGAGUUCUGGAGCUACGAGUGGAAGAAGCACGGCACCUGUUCCAACCUCGAGCCGCACGACUACUUCGCCCGCGCGCUCGCGCUCAAGGCUGCGCACAACCUGACGGCCAUCCUUGCCGGCGCCGGGAUCGUGCCGUCGGCCACCGAGACCUACUCGGUGAGCAGCGUCAGCGACGCCAUCACGCAGGGGACCGGGUUCACGGCGAACCUCGACUGCAACCGCGACGCCGACGGCGAGUCGCAGCUGUACCAGGUGUUCAUGUGCGUGGACCGGGAGGCGAAGCGGCUCAUCGACUGCCCGCUGCACAAGCGCAGCAAGUGCUCCGACCAGGUCAAGCUGCCCCUCUUCUGAGCGAGACGAGCCACGGCGGCCACAGGACGCGGCUGCAUCUGAUCGGCGUUCGUGUUGUUCUGCCCAAGGACUCG
rnacentral:lncRNA from 1 species